UACGUAGGGUGCAAGCGUUAAUCGGAAUUACUGGGCGUAAAGCGUGCGCAGGCGGUUGUGCAAGACCGAUGUGAAAUCCCCGGGCUUAACCUGGGAAUGGCAUUGGUGACUGCACGGCUAGAGUGUGUCAGAGGGGGGUAGAAUUCCACGUGUAGCAGUGAAAUGCGUAGAUAUGUGGAGGAACACCGAUGGCGAAGGCAGCCCCCUGGGAUAACACUGACGCUCAUGCACGAAAGCGUGGGGAGCAAACAGG
rnacentral:rRNA from 1 species